rnacentral:rRNA from 1 species
CCUACGGGAGGCAGCAGUGGGGAAUCUUGGACAAUGGGGGCAACCCUGAUCCAGCCAUGCCGCGUGAGUGAUGAAGGCCUUAGGGUCGUAAAGCUCUUUCGCCUGUGAUGAUAAUGACAGUAGCA